CACGGCAGCUGCUGUUUUCGUACUCGUCCCUCGCGCUUUGCCACCACUCUCGAAAUCCGUCUUCAGAUGGAUUCUCGGACGGACGAGUUCUGUGAUCGAAGCUGCCUUAGCGCCAGUUAGGACUAAUGACCUGAAAGUCGAUUGGGUGGUCUCUCAACGGGUUAGGCAGCACCCGCCCAGCACAUAGAGGAAACCAUGGCCCGUCGUCAAUCCACUGUUGAAAACCGAACAAAGCAUGUGUACUUCAGGAGAGGCCGAAGAUUUAUUUGACACACCCACCACCCACCAUGUCGCUCUUCAAGUCAUUGGCUGGCUCGUUUGACAAUGUUAACUUGCUAUCAUCACCGUUGGAAUGCGUCAAAAGUCAGUGUGGGUCAACUCACUCGAGGACUUAGAAUCCGUACAAAUGAAGAGACUUUGGAUGUGAAGCUCAAAUGAAGCAUAACAUUUCGGAAUCCAUCUGGGAAUUUCAUGGAGGAAGAAGAAAAACAGAACGACGGAGUAAUGGGAAGCCCACAACCACGGGAAAGCGACACCUCCGGCGG